AUUGAACGCUGGCGGCAUGCCUUACACAUGCAAGUCGAACGGCAGCACGGGAGCAAUCCUGGUGGCGAGUGGCGAACGGGUGAGUAAUAUAUCGGAACGUGCCCAGUCGUGGGGGAUAACGCAGCGAAAGCUGUGCUAAUACCGCAUACGAUCUAUGGAUGAAAGCGGGGGAUCGCAAGACCUCGCGCGAUUGGAGCGGCCGAUAUCAGAUUAGGUAGUUGGUGGGGUAAAGGCCCACCAAGCCGACGAUCUGUAGCUGGUCUGAGAGGAUGAUCAGCCACACUGGAACUGAGACACGGUCCAGACUCCUACGGGAGGCAGCAGUAGGGAAUAUUGGACAAUGGGGGCAACCCUGAUCCAGCCAUGCCGCGUGAGUGAAGAAGGCCCUCGGGUUGUAAAGCUCUUUUGUCCGGAAAGAAAGCAAUCGGUUAAUACCCGGUUGUUCUGACGGUACCGGAAGAAUAAGCACCGGCUAACUUCGUGCC
rnacentral:rRNA from 1 species